GCACAAGCAGUGGAGUAUGUGGUUUAAUUCGACGCAACGCGAAGAACCUUACCAAGUCUUGACAUCCUGCGACGGUGCUGGAAACAGUACUUUCCUUCGGGACGCAGAGACAGGUGGUGCAUGGUUGUCGUCAGCUCGUGUCGUGAGAUGUUGGGUUAAGUCCCGCAACGAGCGCAACCCUUAUGGUCAGUUACUACGCAAGAGGACUCUGGCCAGACUGCCGUUGAUAAAA
rnacentral:rRNA from 1 species